rnacentral:rRNA from 1 species
AUGAACGCUAGCUACAGGCUUAACACAUGCAAGUCGAGGGGAAACGGCAUCAAGCGCUUGCGCCUGAUGGACGUCGACCGGCGCACGGGUGAGUAACGCGUAUCCAACCUGCCCCACACUAAGGGAUAACCCGCAGAAAUGUGGACUAAUACCUUAUAUUUUCCACCAAGGGCAUCGUCGAUGGAACAAAGAUUUAUCGGUAUGGGAUGGGGAUGCGUCCGAUUAGGUUGUUGGCGGGGUAACGGCCCACCAAGCCUUCGAUCGGUAGGGGUUCUGAGAGGAAGGUCCCCCACAUAGGAACUGAGACACGGUCCUAACUCCUACGGGAGGCAGCAGUGAGGAAUAUUGGUCAAUGGGCGUGAGCCUGAACCAGCCAAGUAGCGUGCAGGAAGACGGCCCUAUGGGUUGUAAACUGCUUUUAUGCGGGGAUAAAGGAGUCCACGUGUGGAUUUUUGCAGGUACCGCAUGAAUAAGGACCGGCUAAUUCCGUGCCAGCAGCCGCGGUAAUACGGAAGGUCCGGGCGUUAUCCGGAUUUAUUGGGUUUAAAGGGAGCGUAGGCCGCGUUUUAAGCGUGUUGUGAAAUGUAGACGCCCAACGUCUGCAUCGCAGCGCGAACUGGGACGCUUGAGUACGCGCAACGUUGGCGGAAUUCGUCGUGUAGCGGUGAAAUGCUUAGAUAUGACGAGGAACUCCGAUUGCGAAGGCAGCUGACGGGAGCGGCACUGACGCUUAAGCUCGAAGGUGCGGGUAUCAAACAGGAUUAGAUACCCUGGUAGUCCGCACAGUAAACGAUGGAUGCCCGCUGUGUGCCAUUUAUGGUACGCGGCUAAGCGAAAGCGUUAAGCAUUCCACCUGGGGAGUACGCCGGCAACGGUGAAACUCAAAGGAAUUGACGGGGGCCCGCACAAGCGGAGGAACAUGUGGUUUAAUUCGAUGAUACGCGAGGAACCUUACCCGGGCUUGAACUGCCGGUGCACGAUCCAGAGAUGGUGAGGCCCUUCGGGGCGCCGGUGGAGGUGCUGCAUGGUUGUCGUCAGCUCGUGCCGUGAGGUGUCGGCUUAAGUGCCAUAACGAGCGCAACCCCUCUCCGUAGUUGCCAUCAGGUAAUGCUGGGCACUCUGCGGAUACUGCCACCGCAAGGUGCGAGGAAGGUGGGGAUGACGUCAAAUCAGCACGGCCCUUACGUCCGGGGCUACACACGUGUUACAAUGGGGGGCACAGCGAGUAGGCCGCGCGCAAGUUCGGUCCAAUCAAGAAAUCCCCCCUCAGUUCGGACUGGGGUCUGCAGCCCGACCCCACGAAGCUGGAUUCGCUAGUAAUCGCGCAUCAGCCAUGGCGCGGUGAAUACGUUCCCGGGCCUUGUACACACCGCCCGUCAAGCCAUGAAAGCUGGGGGUGCCUGAAGUCCGUAACCGUCAAGGAGCGGCCUAGGGCAAAACCGGUGAUUGGGGCU